AUGGACGGUCAAAUGGUAUUUCACCUAGCUCUUCCAGUUUGUUGGUCCAUGGACAGCCAGAUGAUAUCUCGCCCAGCUAACGUGCUUUCAAUUAUCAGUUUGCAAAACAGGCAAAUGCUUCUGCAAUUUUCGCUAGCACUAUAUAAUACAUCAAUUGGUUUCUUAUUGUUGAAAUUUGAAGAUCUGCGAAUUAGAAGAAUUGUCUUUUUUAUAGGCUGCCUGUUUUGUGUUGCAAAAUUAGAAGUAUUUUCUAAUGUGGUGCAAAAUUUUGUGUUGUUCUUAUGGCCCAUGGUCCUACGUAAAGUAUUCCAAUACAUCUCCACAAAUCAGUUUUUCUUAAUUUUCACGUAA
rnacentral:rRNA from 1 species